rnacentral:rRNA from 1 species
UACGUAGGGGGCAAGCGUUGUCCGGAAUCAUUGGGCGUAAAGAGCGCGUAGGCGGUCCGGUAAGUCCGCUCUGAAAGUCCGGGGCUCAACCCCGGGAGGCGGGCGGAUACUGCCGGGCUAGAGUCCGGAAGAGGAGAGUGGAAUUCCUGGUGUAGCGGUGAAAUGCGCAGAUAUCAGGAAGAACACCCGUGGCUAAGGCGGCUCUCUAGUACGGUACUGACGCUGAGACGCGAAAGCGUGGGGAGCAACAGG